AUCAACGACCAUACCACGUAGGAACUACUGGUUCUCGUUCGAUCACCAAAGUCAAGCUGCACGGUUAGUACUUGGAUGGGUGACCGCUUGGGAACACCGUGUGUUGUUGGUU
rnacentral:rRNA from 1 species